UAACCUGCCCAAGAGAUCGGGAUAACACCUGGGAACAGAUGCUAAUACCGGAUAACAACAGAUGAUGCCUAUCAACUGUUUAAAAGAUGGUUCUGCUAUCACUCUUGGAUGGACCUGCGGUGCAUUAGCUAGUUGGUAGGGUAACGGCCUACCAAGGCGAUGAUGCAUAGCCGAGUUGAGAGACUGAUCGGCCACAUUGGGACUGAGACACGGCCCAAACUCCUACGGGAGGCAGCAGCG
rnacentral:rRNA from 1 species